GAGCCGUGGCUUUCGGAGCUAACGCGUUAAGUAGACCGCCUGGGGAGUACGGUCGCAAGAUUAAAACUCAAAUGAAUUGACGGGGGCCCGCACAAGCGGUGGAGCAUGUGGUUUAAUUCGAUGCAACGCGAAGAACCUUACCUACUCUUGACAUCCAGAGAACUUUCCAGAGAUGGAUUGGUGCCUUCGGGAACUCUGAGACAGGUGCUGCAUGGCUGUCGUCAGCUCGUGUUGUGAAAUGUUGGGUUAAGUCCCGCAACGAGCGCAACCCUUAUCCUUGUUUGCCAGCGAGUAAUGUCGGGAACUCCAGGGAGACUGCCGGUGAUAAACCGGAGGAAGGUGGGGACGACGUCAAGUCAUCAUGGCCCUUACGAGUAGGGCUACACACGUGCUACAAUGGCGCAUACAGAGGGCAGCCAACUUGCGAGAGUGAGCGAAUCCCAAAAAGUGCGUCGUAGUCCGGAUCGGAGUCUGCAACUCGACUCCGUGAAGUCGGAAUCGCUAGUAAUCGUGGAUCAGAAUGCCACGGUGAAUACGUUCCCGGGCCUUGUACACACCGCCCGUCACACCAUGGGAGUGGGCUGCAAAAGAAGUAGGUAGUAUAAC
rnacentral:rRNA from 1 species